UACGUAGGGUGCAAGCGUUAAUCGGAAUUACUGGGCGUAAAGCGUGCGCAGGCGGUUGUGCAAGACCGAUGUGAAAUCCCCGGGCUCAACCUGGGAAUGGCAUUGGUGACUGUACGGCUAGAGUGUGUCAGAGGGGGGUAGAAUUCCACGUGUAGCAGUGAAAUGCGUAGAUAUGUGGAGGAAUACCGAUGGCGAAGGCAGCCCCCUGGGAUAACACUGACGCUCAUGCACGAAAGCGUGGGGAGCAAACAGG
rnacentral:rRNA from 1 species